GCCUGUAGUCCCAGCUACUUGGGAGGCUGAGAUAGGAGGAUCCCUUGAGUCCAGGAGAUCUGGGCUGUAGUGUGCUAUGUUGAUCAGGUGUCCUCACUGUUUGGCAUCAAUGUGGUGACCUCCCGGGAGUGGGGAACCACUAGGUUGCCUAAGGAGGGGUGAACUGGCCCAGGUUGGAAACAGCAGGUCAAAACUCCCAUGAUGAUCAGUAGUGGGAUGGCACCUGUGAAUAGCCACUGCGCUCCAGCCUGGGCAACAUAGUGAGAUCCCAUCUCUU
rfam:Otolemur garnettii contig146678, whole genome shotgun sequence.